rnacentral:rRNA from 1 species
CACCGCCCGUCACAUUCUGGGAGUUGGUAUAGUGAAAGUAUUAAUUUUCAUAAUUAUGAAAAUUAUGAAAUAAAAGCCGUAAUUAUAUUGAUGAUUGGAAUU